UGCAAGUCGAACGAUGAACCACUUCGGUGGGGAUUAGUGGCGAACGGGUGAGUAACACGUGGGCAAUCUGCCCUGCACUCUGGGACAAGCCCUGGAAACGGGGUCUAAUACCGGAUACUGACCCUCACGGGCAUCUGUGAGGUUCGAAAGCUCCGGCGGUGCAGGAUGAGCCCGCGGCCUAUCAGCUUGUUGGUGAGGUAAUGGCUCACCAAGGCGACGACGGGUAGCCGGCCUGAGAGGGCGACCGGCCACACUGGGACUGAGACACGGCCCAGACUCCUACGGGAGGCAGCAGUGGGGAAUAUUGCACAAUGGGCGAAAGCCUGAUGCAGCGACGCCGCGUGAGGGAUGACGGCCUUCGGGUUGUAAACCUCUUUCAGCAGGGAAGAAGCGAAAGUGACGGUACCUGCAGAAGAAGCGCCGGCUAACUACGUGCCAGCAGCCG
rnacentral:rRNA from 1 species